GAGGGUACAGCUCAGUGGUAGAGCACGUGCUUAGCAUGCACGAGGUCCUGGGUUCAAUCCCAGUACGUCCC
rfam:Camelus ferus unplaced genomic scaffold scaffold1089, whole genome shotgun sequence.